rnacentral:tRNA from 1 species
GGUAGCGUGGCCGAGCGGUCUAAGGCGCUGGUUUUAGGCACCAGUCUCAUUGAGGCAGUGGGUUCGAAUCCCACCGCUGCCA